UACGUAGGGGGCUAGCGUUGUCCGGAAUCAUUGGGCGUAAAGAGCGCGUAGGCGGCCCGGUAAGUCCGCUGUGAAAGUCGGGGGCUCAACCCUCGAAUGCCGGUGGAUACUGUCGGGCUAGAGUGCGGAAGAGGCGAGUGGAAUUCCUGGUGUAGCGGUGAAAUGCGCAGAUAUCAGGAGGAACACCAAUUGCGAAGGCAGCGCGCUGGGGCGUGACUGACGCUGAGGCACGAAGGCCAGGGGAGCAAACGGG
rnacentral:rRNA from 1 species